rnacentral:rRNA from 1 species
GACGAACGCUGGCGGCGUGCUUAACACAUGCAAGUCGAACGGUAAGGCCCUUCGGGGUACACGAGUGGCGAACGGGUGAGUAACACGUGGGUGAUCUGCCCUGCACUUCGGGAUAAGCCUGGGAAACUGGGUCUAAUACCGGAUAGGACCACUGCCUGCAUGGGUGGUGGUGGAAAGCUUUUGCGGUGUGGGAUGGGCCCGCGGCCUAUGAGCUUGUUGGUGGGGUGAUGGCCUACCAAGGCGACGACGGGUAGCCGGCCUGAGAGGGUGACCGGGCACGCGGGGACUGGGAUACGGCCAAGACUCCGACGGGAGGCAGCAGGGGGGAAUAUUGCACAAUGGGCCCAAGCCGGAUGCAGCGACGCGGCGUGAGGGAUGACGGCGUUCGGGUUGUAAACCUCUUUCAGCACCGACGAAGCGCAAGUGACGGUAGGUGCAGAAGAAGGACCGGCCAACUACGUGCCAGCAGCCGCCGUAA